CACGUCAGCGCGACCUGCUGACGUGGAGGGAAAUCGCGUCCUUGAGGAAGCGAUUUCCCUCCAUGUCAGCAGGUCGCGCUGACGUGG
rfam:Gossypium raimondii Chr08_contig_156, whole genome shotgun sequence.